ACGGAAGGCAGCAGUGGGGAAUAUUGCACAAUGGGGGAAACCCUGAUGCAGCAACGCCGCGUGAGUGAUGACGGUCUUCGGAUUGUAAAGCUCUGUCUUUAGGGACGAUAAUGACGGUACCUAAGGAGGAAGCCACGGCUAACUGCGUGCCAGCAGCCGCGGUAAUACGUAGGUGGCAAGCGUUGUCCGGAUUUACUGGGCGUAAAGGGAGCGUAGGUGGAUAUUUAAGUGGGAUGUGAAAUACCCGGGCUUAACCUGGGUGCUGCAUUCCAAACUGGAUAUCUAGAGUGCAGGAGAGGAAAGGAGAAUUCCUAGUGUAGCGGUGAAAUGCGUAGGGAUUAGGAAGAAUACCAGUGGCGAAGGCGCCUUUCUGGACUGUAACUGACACUGAGGCUCGAAAGCGUGGGGAGCAAACAGGAUUAGAUACCCUGGUA
rnacentral:rRNA from 1 species